CCAUUUGGUUUUAUCUGAAACGUGUCGAAGAGAAACUCAUUUCUCUUUUCUUCUUCUCUUUCCUUCUUCUUUCUUCUUCUUCUUCCACGUUCUUUCUCUUCCCCUCUCUGUCGAGCUCAGUUCAGAAGAGUAGAGUUGUUCUCGUGUGAGUUAUUCAUAGAUAUUAGUUAGCUUGAUGAACCAAAGAAGAUGAAGUUUGAAUUGAGGUUGUUUGAGUUCCAGGAGAAUCAGAAGAUGAUAUUGAUGAUGGAAAAGUGUCAUUCUGGGAUGAAGAAUAGAGGGGUUGUUACUGGAUUGUCCAGGUGAUGUUGUUCUGAUGAUGAAUCGAAAAGAAAAAAGUAAAUUAGAGAUUUAAUUAGGGUUUCUUUGUUAAGCUCUGUGUUGUGUGAAAUUGAUGUGUUGUUUGAUUGAAUUAGUAUAUGGGUUUGCUUUUAUUUGAAGUAGAGAUGUUCAUAUAUGGUUUAAUUUUAGUUAUGUGCAAUUCAAAUUGAAAAUUAGGGAUUUUGUAAAUAAGGGUUUGAGAUUAUAGUUGGGGAUCAAUUGAUUGGUACUGGAAGGAAGACGAAUUGAUGAUUUAGAAUUAGGGUUUUGAUUGGUGUUCUGAAUUGGAAGAAGAGAAAGGUAAUUUAGAGAAUUGUUGCUGAUGAAGUUCAAGUGGCAGGUGUAAUUGAGUUAUUGACUUUGUAUUAUGAAGUUGCUGACUUGAGGAGUUUGAGAAAGAUUAGAGUUUAAUCAUGUUGUGAUUGAAGAUGGAUGAGUGAUGUUCAGGUUGAGAUGAUUAUGUUUUGGCAGAAGCUUCGAAUGAAGUUGGGUGUGAGUGAUUGGGCUAGUGAAAGUUACUGCUAUGGAGUGUGCACAUGGUUAGUGAACUGCAGAGACUGAAUUGUGAAUAGAUACAGGUGGAGGUGAUGAUUAUAAUGGUACUGAAAUGAUUUUGUUGUGUAAGUUUGAAUUACAAGUAUUGUAAUGUUGUUGGAGUUGAGUAUCUGGUGGUAGUGGUGGUGUUGUAUGUGUGGUGUUGUAGCCUAUGGGUAGUAUGGCAAAGAAGAACUGAUACUUAACUUCUGUAAUUGCAGUUGAGAUAUUAAUGAACAUGAGGUAUGUGUUUAUUAUUGGAGGAUUGUAUCACUGGCAGUGAUAUGGAUGUUUGGUUUUGCUAUGGAUGUUGAUGCUGCUAUGAUAUAGACAAUGGUUGUGACUGAAAUUAGAAAGUAUGAAGAUUGAAAUGAAUGUAUGACUGAAGUAUUGUAGUUGAAGUUAAUCUAGUUGAAAUGAAUUAAUGAAGAAGAGUUAGGUUGUUGGCCUUGACAUGUUUGUGUUGCAUCUUGUUUGUGCAUUAGUAUUCUUUAGCCUGAGCAAUGGCUCUGGCUUGCGCUAAGGCUUUGGCCUUGUGUCUUAGACCUAUUAGUCAUCCUAGUCAGAUUGUCUGUCUGACUCUGACCUUAGAUGACUUAGGAUAUCUGACUGAGUUGAAUCGGUUCGACUCAGAACUGAAUCAGUGAGCCAAAACCAGACUUGACCAGUUUACCGUUGAUUUGACCUUUGAUUGGACUUUGAGUUUGACCUUGACUUGGAUGUUGACUGUUAAUUGACCCUUUUGACUGUUAGCGACCGUUAGUUGACUCAGAUAGACCAGGCCUUAGAUUGAUGGACUGGUUUAGUGGACUUGGGCUUAGAGUUAGUUUUCUUAUUUUGAUGAAUUAGACCCCUUAUGGUCCAAAUUAGCUUUUGGUUCCUUAAACAAAGUUGUAGGUCUUCUUAAGACUGAUCUAAUGGACUAUAGAUCCAACCCAAUUCAUUUAAUAAACCUUAGCUAUGCUAAAUAUAGAGAAUGGAAAAGAUGUAAAGUUAUGAAUGGGCUUAGAACCAUUAGUUAGACUUGUAUGAGCCUUGUAUGAGACUUUUGGCUAAUUCUUAGAGUGCUUGUGCGAUUAACAGUUAGUCUUCAUUAACAGCGACCGAUCUAAAGGAUGAACCAGUGGAAUGAGGAUCUCAAGGUAGAAGUUUUUUCCUUCAGAAUCAGUUUCAGUAAUCAGAAGAAAUGGUGCGCGCAAAGAUAUCUGAUUUCGUUGCUUAAAGUUUUAGCGUACUGAAGAUGUUUGUUUAUCUUUUGUGUAUGUAUUAUUUUUUCUUCGUAAAACAACACAUUAUUAUAUUCA